rnacentral:rRNA from 1 species
GACGAACGCUGGCGGCGUGCUUAACACAUGCAAGUCGAACGGUGAACCUCUUCGGAGGGGAUCAGUGGCGAACGGGUGAGUAACACGUGGGCAACCUGCCCCCGGCUCUGGGAUAACUCCAAGAAAUUGGGGCUAAUACCGGAUGUUCACCGCUUCCCGCAUGGGUGGUGGUGGAAAGGGUUUCCGGCUGGGGAUGGGCCCGCGGCCUAUCAGCUUGUUGGUGGGGUAGUGGCCUACCAAGGCGACGACGGGUAGCCGGCCUGAGAGGGUGACCGGCCACACUGGGACUGAGACACGGCCCAGACUCCAACGGGAGGCAGCAGUGGGGAAUAUUGCGCAAUGGGCGGGAGCCUGACGCAGCGACGCCGCGUGGGGGAUGACGGCCUUCGGGUUGUAAACCUCUUUCAGCAGGGACGAAGCGCAAGUGACGGUACCUGCAGAAGAAGCACCGGCCAACUACGUG